GGAUUCAAGAUAAGAAGGUACAAUCUUUUAUCUCAGAGGCAAUUGGGUACAAAAUGACAGGAAUGCCACAAAAGUGAUGCUAUAUUCUUAUCAAUGAAACAUCAGGAAGAAUAUAAUGUCUAUUUGUCCUAUUACUGGUAUAACAGCCCUUUCCUCUCCUCACACCCCAAACGGCACAAUUGAAAGCAGACUGACUACCUUGAAGAAAGGAGCAAGUCAUCUACAACUUGGCCUGCAGUUAAAAGGGCGCCACAGAGCCAUGUGUCUCUCCAGGAGCCAGGCGUUGUGCUGAGAGAUGCUUCAGGCUGUUUUCUCCAGCCCUGGCCUGUGACUCAUAGCUCUAACCCUCAACUUGGAGCAGCAGAAGUGGCAGCAGCAACAUGCCGGCAGC